CUUCACCGAACCCAGCCACAGCGGCAGCUCACCGGACCGGCCCUGGCCGUAGACGGCGAGGAGUGCCUCCGCCUC
rnacentral:antisense_RNA from 1 species